UACGAAGGGGGCUAGCGUUGCUCGGAAUUACUGGGCGUAAAGGGCGCGUAGGCGGAUAUCUAAGUUGGGGGUGAAAUCCCGGGGCUCAACCUCGGAAUUGCCUUCAAAACUGGAUAUCUUGAGUUCGGGAGAGGUGAGUGGAACUGCGAGUGUAGAGGUGAAAUUCGUAGAUAUUCGCAAGAACACCAGUGGCGAAGGCGGCUCACUGGCCCGAUACUGACGCUGAUGCACGAAAGCGUGGGGAGCAAACAGG
rnacentral:rRNA from 1 species